CCAAAGGCUCUUUUAAGAGCCACCCAUCUUGUCUUCAAAAGAGGUU
rfam:Danio rerio chromosome 25 genomic contig CTG2378, GRCz11 reference primary assembly.